UACGUAGGGAGCAAGCGUUGUCCGGAAUCAUUGGGCGUAAAGCGCGCGUAGGUGGCCUCAUAAGUCCGCUGUGAAAGUCAAAAGGCUCAACCUUUGAAAGCCGGUGGAUACUGUGAGGCUAGAGUACGGAAGAGGCGAGUGGAAUUCCUGGUGUAGCGGUGGAAUGCGCAGAUAUCAGGAGGAACACCAAUAGCGAAGGCAGCUCGCUGGGACGUUACUGACACUGAGACGCGAAAGCGUGGGGAGCAAACAGG
rnacentral:rRNA from 1 species